ensembl:lncRNA
GUUUUAUUUACCAUACAUACAGUUUGCACUGCCAAGCCAGAGCCAACAUCAUUUCAUUCAAAGCUAUAGACAAACAGUACAUCACAUGCCAACAUUUGCAUAUCCAGUUCCUCUAACAGUCUCACUCACGUCACCGUAAACCUGGUUCUCUCUUGCACGAUAUAAGUCACAUAUUUAUAGACAUUUACAUGUGUAUCUACACUCAAUAUCUCUACAAAGCAUAGAAAAAAUAAAUUUCAUUACCUUUAUUCUUACAUUAUUCAUUAUUACAUUAUGUAUAUUUAUUGAUGGCAAAGCAGGGGUUUAUGGUUUGACCACAUGUUGCUGGAUCUCGGAAGGAAAACAGUUUUCACUGCAGCUUAAAGCACAAAGCCGUCGUCCAACUGUUUUGGGACAGAGUGGACUGCGAUGCGACCGGGGGAGAGCACAGGUGACUCUGCUGAGACACAGCCUUCAUCUGCAGUCACGUGGCAGAGCCAUUAAUCCAAUCUUUCAUGCUUUUUAAGAAAGUGUCCACGGGGAGCGUUAGAGUGAAAAAACAAAACACCCCAAAAACAGAUUCCAGUAAAAAAAAAAAAAAAAAAAAAAAUCACUUCAAUCAGUCAGAUCGUACAGUCUGAUUGUAUAAGCACAUUUAACAAAAAUGGGAGGAGCAAAGAGUUUAGAGAGCAGUCGUUACCCUUCCUGUAAGUUUACAUGCAUUUAGAGUAGAUGGUUCCUUCCUCUUUAUUCUCCUCCAGGAAAGAAAAAUAUCCUAGGCGUCUGUUGACAGAAGGAGCAUCCCUAACCCAGUUUAACUAUGCUGCAUGUACAGAAUUGCAGUAUUCACAGAGCACUGACCCAAAACGACGCUGCACGAGGCACAUUUCAAAGUCAAAUUUGAGCGAGUGACAGGCCGAGGAUGGCCUGAGGAAACUGUAUAGGAAGCAGAAGUGACGUCCUAAGAUGCAGAUCAUUAAAUUUCACCGGAUCUGGCUCUACAGUGGUGCAGCAGAAGUAACAGUUUUCUUUCUUACAGAGCAAAGAAAAUCACAACACAUUGAUUCAAGAAUAUAAUGAUGACUUUAAAAAAAGAAAAAGAAAAUUACUUUUUUUUUCUGAAUUCAGAUCCUUUCUUUACUUAUCUAAGGCUUAAUUCAAGAACAUCUGAAAAAGAUGCACUGAAACAAAAUCUUAGGAAAAAUGAUACUAUAGUAACAACGAAUAGCCACAGCAAAGCCUGUCGCUUUAGGAAAAGCAUGCAAACAUGAACGAUAAUAAAGCAUUGGCUAAAAAGUAGUUGUAAAACCAGGCUAUAUAACACUGAGGGCUUUGUUGGGAGUCGAGGAGAAGACGUCAGCCUACAUUGGUUUACUUUUAAUAAUAGAUGGCUCAAAUUAUUUAUUUAUUCACCUCUUCUUUCCUCCGUCUCCCUGGUCUGUAACCUUAACUGAAAACGAGGUCAAUUUGGAGGAAAGGGAGAUGAUGCCAGGACCGGCUUUAGUUUAGAUGGUAGGAUAAAAAGAAAAAGAUUGUGAGAACGGCUGUUGCAUGCAGCCUACAGUGAGGGUGCAACCACUGCAGGCAGCGUUUGCUUAGACGGCGACCCCGGUAUGAAAGGAUGUGGCUGGGAGAAGAUGGUUAUUUGGGAAUGAGAGAACCUCAGUGAGGGCAGGAGGUGGCGGCUGUGAUCAACUCAGUGUCGUGUGUCACUCUAAGGGUUGUUUUUGAAAUUUAA